UGUCAUAAAUGCAAAGUACAGAUGCAUCAAACACCAUUACUUUCCAUCUGUUACAACUAACUCAUUAACAACCAUGCCUUUCUUUUCUUCUUUUUAAAUUCAAUUCCAUUUCCCCAUAUCUGGACCAAUAGAAAAUCAUGUUUCUAACCAUUUCCGUAUGCUAUUUAUUGACCGUUGCCUAAAUGAUUUAGUGGUGCCAUAAAUUUUCUAGACUUUUGAAUCUAUAAGUCUAUGUGCUAAUGCUUCUCUUGUCCAGGUUUCACAAUUUGGAAAAAAAUGAAGAUUUUUUCAGCUAAGGUUGAAGAGGGAAGGGAAGGCCUAGAUGAGAAGCCAGCAGUUGGUCCCGUGUAUUGUAAUUUACUCUCCAAGAAUGAGUUUCCUCCACCUGAUCCCAAUAUUAGUACAGCUUGGGAUGUUUUCAGGGCCAGGUGCUAUCAAUUUUAUUCUCGAUCAUGCAGAGGUUGAUUUUGUUUUUGUCCAGGAUAAAAAAGUGAAAGAAGUAAGAACUUUAAAAAAAUUUGCUUUGUGAUAAAAUGAUAUGCUUAAUCACAUAAGCUCACAUUUCAAAAGCAAUGGAUGUUUUGAUUGGACAAAUGUUCUUGUGUUUGCAUCUACUAAAUCCUGAUUGUAAAUCUGCUCAACAACUGAAAAGUAAGAAUGAUUAAAUAACUGCAGUCUGCUCCAUGUUAAGGCUUUCUACUGAGUUUGGUUGUGGUUGCAGUUAUGGUGUGCUUCACUUCCUUAACAGAGGAAGAGAAGAAUAAGGCAACUGAAAUUAGGAUAAAACCAUAUUCAUGGAAUGAGUUCUUUCAUAUGGUCAGUUUCCCAUUGUCUUGAUUGAAUAUUUUGUUCAAUAAACUAAUCUGCGUUCAAUGUAAAUAAACAUAGAACAUGUGUUUUCUUUCUCUUCAGUAGUAACUUUUCCUUAAAGAGAAAAGAGUACUUGUACAUCUUCUACUAGAUUAGAACUAGUAUUUGCGAUUCAUUGUGCUCUGCUCUAUAUGUUUUGACGCUAUUUUCUAUCUUCCUGGAAUUUGUCUUAGUAUAUCUCUAGUUGAAGAUGUUAAAUAAAUCUAUGCUAUGGAUCUCUCUGACAGCAAUGUGAGCAUUGUGUGUUUGGGCCCAUCUUAUAUGCAAAUGGAAAAGAAACCCCGUCAGAUUUGUCCACCUCAGUCUUUCCACAUUUGCACAAUUAUGUACACAAGUGGCACGAGUGGAGAUCCUAAAGGUGUUGUGUUAACACAUGAGAACAUUGCCUCUUUUAUAAGACGGAUGGAUCUAUUUAUGGCACAAUUUGAAGACAAGGUAAAAAUGGUUCUUGAAUAGCUGAUAGGUUUUUUCUACAUAUCUCUUCUCUUGUUGUUUAAUUAAUCUCCAUGACAUCUUCCUAAGCUAUAUGAAAUUCUGGUUACUCUUUUCCUUUGCAUGAGUCCCAACUACAUAGAUAAGGACUUUUGUUGUGCAAAAUCUAUGUUUCAUGCUGUAUGUUUCUCCCCUAUCAACUAAA